CCUACGGGCGGCUGCAGUGGGGAAUAUUGCACAAUGGGGGAAACCCUGAUGCAGCGACGCCGCGUGAGUGAAGAAGUAUUUCGGUAUGUAAAGCUCUAUCAGCAGGGAAGAAAAUGACGGUACCUGAUUAAGAAGCCCCGGCUAACUACGUGCCAGCAGCCGCGGUAAUACGUAGGGGGCAAGCGUUACCCGGAUUUACUGGGUGUAAAGGGAGCGUAGGCGGCAGCACAAGUCUGGAGUGAAAUGCCGGGGCUUAACCCCGGAACUGCUUUGGAAACUGUGCAGCUAGAGUGCGGGAGAGGUAAGUGGAAUUCCUGGUGUAGCGGUAAAAUGCGUAGAUAUUAGGAGGAACACCAGUGGCGAAGGCGGCUUGCUGGACUGUAACUGACGUUGAGGCUCGAAAGCGUGGGGAGCAAACAGGAUUAGAUACCCCAGUAGUC
rnacentral:rRNA from 1 species